AGCGAACGCUGGCGGCGUGCUUAACACAUGCAAGUCGAACGAAGGCUUCGGCCUUAGUGGCGGACGGGUGAGUAACGCGUGGGAAUCUACCUUACGGCGGGGAAUAACUUCGGGAAACUGAAGCUAAUACCGCAUACGCUCUACGGAGGAAAGGCUUCGGCCACCGUUUGAGGAUCCCGCGUCCGAUUAGCUAGUUGGUAGGGUAACGGCCUACCAAGGCGACGAUCGGUAGCUGGUCUGAGAGGAUGAUCAGCCACACUGGGACUGAGACACGGCCCAGACUCCUACGGGAGGCAGCAGUGGGGAAUAUUGGACAAUGGGGGAAACCCUGAUCCAGCGACGCCGCGUGAAUGAUGAAGGCCUUAGGGUUGUAAAGUUCUUUCGUCCGUGACGAUGAUGACAGUAGCGGAAGAAGAAGCUCCGGCUAACUUCGUGCCAGCAGCCGCCGUAAUAC
rnacentral:rRNA from 1 species